UGGGGAAUUUUGGACAAUGGGCGAAAGCCUGAUCCAGCAAUGCCGCGUGUGUGAAGAAGGCCUUCGGGUUGUAAAGCACUUUUGUCCGGAAAGAAAUCCUUGGCUCUAAUACAGUCGGGGGAUGACGGUACCGGAAGAAUAAGCACCGGCUAACUACGUGCCAGCAGCCGCGGUAAUACGUAGGGUGCAAGCGUUAAUCGGAAUUACUGGGCGUAAAGCGUGCGCAGGCGGUUUGCUAAGACCGAUGUGAAAUCCCCGGGCUCAACCUGGGAACUGCAUUGGUGACUGGCAGGCUAGAGUAUGGCAGAGGGGGGUAGAAUUCCACGUGUAGCAGUGAAAUGCGUAGAGAUGUGGAGGAAUACCGAUGGCGAAGGCAGCCCCCUGGGCCAAUACUGACGCUCAUGCACGAAAGCGUGGGGAGCAAACAGGAUUAGAUACCCUGGUAGUCCACGCCCUAAACGAUGUCAACUAGUUGUUGGGGAUUCAUUUCCUUAGUAACGUUAGCUAACGCGUGAAGUUGACCGCCUGGGGAGUACGGUCGCAAGAUUAAAACUUAAAUGAAUUGACGGGGUCAUAGCUGUUUCCU
rnacentral:rRNA from 1 species